rnacentral:rRNA from 1 species
UACGUAGGGCGCAAGCGUUAUCCGGAAUUAUUGGGCGUAAAGAGCUCGUAGGCGGUUUGUCGCGUCUGCCGUGAAAGUCCGGGGCUCAACUCCGGAUCUGCGGUGGGUACGGGCAGACUAGAGUGAUGUAGGGGAGACUGGAAUUCCUGGUGUAGCGGUGAAAUGCGCAGAUAUCAGGAGGAACACCGAUGGCGAAGGCAGGUCUCUGGGCAUUUCCUGACGCUGAGGAGCGAAAGUGUGGGGAGCGAACAGG